ACAUGCAGUCGAGCGGUAACAGGAGAAGCUUGCUUCUCGCUGACGAGCGGCGGACGGGUGAGUAAUACUUAGGAAUCUACCUAGUAGUGGGGGAUAGCUCGGGGAAACUCGAAUUAAUACCGCAUACGACCUACGGGAGAAAGGGGGCAACUUGUUGCUCUCGCUAUUAGAUGAGCCUAAGUCGGAUUAGCUAGAUGGUGGGGUAAAGGCCUACCAUGGCGACGAUCUGUAGCUGGUCUGAGAGGAUGAUCAGCCACACCGGGACUGAGACACGGCCCGGACUCCUACGGGAGGCAGCAGUGGGGAAUAUUGGACAAUGGGGGCAACCCUGAUCCAGCCAUGCCGCGUGUGUGAAGAAGGCCUUUUGGUUGUAAAGCACUUUAAGCAGUGAAGAAGACUCCAUGGUUAAUACCCAUGGACGAUGACAUUAGCUGCAGAAUAAGCACCGGCUAACUCUGUGCCAGCAGCCGCGGUAAUACAGAGGGUGCAAGCGUUAAUCGGAAUUACUGGGCGUAAAGCGAGCGUAGGUGGCUUGAUAAGUCAGAUGUGAAAGCCCCGGGCUUAACCUGGGAACGGCAUCUGAUACUGUUAGGCUAGAGUAGGUGAGAGGAAGGUAGAAUUCCAGGUGUAGCGGUGAAAUGCGUAGAGAUCUGGAGGAAUACCGAUGGCGAAGGCAGCCUUCUGGCAUCAUACUGACACUGAGGUUCGAAAGCGUGGGUAGCAAACAGGAUUAGAUACCCUGGUAGUCCACGCCGUAAACGAUGUCUACUAGUCGUUGGGUCCCUUGAGGACUUAGUGACGCAGCUAACGCAAUAAGUAGACCGCCUGGGGAGUACGGCCGCAAGGUUAAAACUCAAAUGAAUUGACGGGGGCCCGCACAAGCGGUGGAGCAUGUGGUUUAUUCGAUGCAACGCGAAGAACCUUACCUGGUCUUGGACAUAUCUAGAAUCCUGCA
rnacentral:rRNA from 1 species